rnacentral:rRNA from 1 species
UAACGCGUGAGGAACCUGCCUCAAAGAGGGGGACAACAGUUGGAAACGACUGCUAAUACCGCAUAAGCCCACGGUGCCGCAUGGCACAGAGGGAAAAGGAGCAAUCCGCUUUGAGAUGGCCUCGCGUCCGAUUAGCUAGUUGGUGAGGUAAUGGCCCACCAAGGCGACGAUCGGUAGCCGGACUGAGAGGUUGAACGGCCACAUUGGGACUGAGACACGGCCCAG